rnacentral:lncRNA from 1 species
UCUCGGUCAUACUUCUAACCUUCCAUUCAGUUUUUUCGAGCACUUCCGAUUGUUUCUUUCUUAAAACACUAAUUUUUUAUACAUUUUAAAUUGCUCUCUAAACCCUCAAACACGCCGUGUAUCAACUUUUUAUGAUCCAGUUACUCGGUAUCAUGAUAACUAUGGUCUUUAUUAUCAUCGUAAAAUUCCUCAUCAUCGUGUUUUUUCAAACUUGAAUUUGUUUAUUGUUUGUGUAGGAGACUUACCCAAUAAUUAAACUCUCAAAAAAAAAAAA